rnacentral:rRNA from 1 species
AGAGUUUGAUCAUGGCUCAGAUUGAACGCUGGCGGCAGGCCUAACCCAUGCAAGUCGAACGGUAACAGGAAGCAGCUUGCUGCUUCGCUGACGAGUGGCGGACGGGUGAGUAAUGUCUGGGAAGCUGCCUGAUGGAGGGGGAUAACUACUGGAAACGGUAGCUAAUACCGCAUAAUGUCGCAAGACCAAAGAGGGGGACCUUCGGGCCUCUUGCCAUCGGAUGUGCCCAGAUGGGAUUAGCUUGUUGGUGGGGUAACGGCUCACCAAGGCGACGAUCCCUAGCUGGUCUGAGAGGAUGACCAGCCACACUGGGACUGAGACACGGUCCAGACUCCUACGGGAGGCAGCAGUGGGGAAUAUUGCACAAUGGGCGCAAGCCUGAUGCAGCCAUGCCGCGUGUAUGAAGAAGGCCUUCGGGUUGUAAAGUACUUUCAGCGGGGAGGAAGGGAGUAAAGUUAAUACCUUUGCUCAUUGACGUUACCCGCAGAAGAAGCACCGGCUAACUCCGUGCCAGCAGCCGCGGUAAUACGGAGGGUGCAAGCGUUAAUCGGAAUUACUGGGCGUAAAGCGCACGCAGGCGGUUUGUUAAGUCAGAUGUGAAAUCCCCGGGCUCAACCUGGGAACUGCAUCUGAUACUGGCAAGCUUGAGUCUCGUAGAGGGGGGUAGAAUUCCAGGUGUAGCGGUGAAAUGCGUAGAGAUCUGGAGGAAUACCGGUGGCGAAGGCGGCCCCCUGGACGAAGACUGACGCUCAGGUGCGAAAGCGUGGGGAGCAAACAGGAUUAGAUACCCUGGUAGUCCACGCCGUAAACGAUGUCGACUUGGAGGUUGUGCCCUUGAGGCGUGGCUUCCGGAGCUAACGCGUUAAGUCGACCGCCUGGGGAGUACGGCCGCAAGGUUAAAACUCAAAUGAAUUGACGGGGGCCCGCACAAGCGGUGGAGCAUGUGGUUUAAUUCGAUGCAACGCGAAGAACCUUACCUGGUCUUGACAUCCACGGAAGUUUUCAGAGAUGAGAAUGUGCCUUCGGGAACCGUGAGACAGGUGCUGCAUGGCUGUCGUCAGCUCGUGUUGUGAAAUGUUGGGUUAAGUCCCGCAACGAGCGCAACCCUUAUCCUUUGUUGCCAGCGGUCCGGCCGGGAACUCAAAGGAGACUGCCAGUGAUAAACUGGAGGAAGGUGGGGAUGACGUCAAGUCAUCAUGGCCCUUACGACCAGGGCUACACACGUGCUACAAUGGCGCAUACAAAGAGAAGCGACCUCGCGAGAGCAAGCGGACCUCAUAAAGUGCGUCGUAGUCCGGAUUGGAGUCUGCAACUCGACUCCAUGAAGUCGGAAUCGCUAGUAAUCGUGGAUCAGAAUGCCACGGUGAAUACGUUCCCGGGCCUUGUACACACCGCCCGUCACACCAUGGGAGUGGGUUGCAAAAGAAGUAGGUAGCUUAACCUUCGGGAGGGCGCUUACCACUUUGUGAUUCAUGACUGGGGUGAAGUCGGAACAAGGUAACCGUAGGGGAACCUGCGGUUG